AGUGAACGCUGGCGGUAGGCCUAACACAUGCAAGUCGAACGGCAGCACAGUAAGAGCUUGCUCUUACGGGCGGCGAGUGGCGGACGGGUGAGGAAUACAUCGGAAUCUACUUUUUCGUGGGGGAUAACGUAGGGAAACUUACGCUAAUACCGCAUACGACCUACGGGUGAAAGCAGGGGAUCUUCGGACCUUGCGCGAUUGAAUGAGCCGAUGUCGGAUUAGCUAGUUGGCGGGGUAAAGGCCCACCAAGGCGACGAUCCGUAGCUGGUCUGAGAGGAUGAUCGGCCCAACUGGAACUGAGACACGGUCCAGACUCCAACGGAAGGAAGCGUUGGGGAAUAUUGGAAAAUGGCGCAAGCCUGAUCCAGCCAUACCGCGUGGGUGAAGAAGGCCUUCGGGUUGUAAAGCCCUUUUGUUGGGAAAGAAAAGCAGCAGGUUAAUACCCCGCUGUUCUGACGGUACCCAAAGAAUAAGCACCGGCUAACUUCGUG
rnacentral:rRNA from 1 species